CCAGACUCCUACGGGAGGCAGCAGUGAGGAAUAUUGGUCAAUGGCCGGAAGGCUGAACCAGCCAAGCCGCGUGAGGGAGGAAGGUACAGAGUAUCGUAAACCUCUUUUGUCAGGGAACAAAGACUGGGACGCGUCCCCGGAUGAGUGUACCUGAAGAAAAAGCAUCGGCUAACUCCGUGCCAGCAGCCGCGGUAAUACGGAGGAUCCGAGCGUUAUCCGGAUUUAUUGGGUUUAAAGGGAGCGUAGAUGGGUUGUUAAGUCAGUUGUGAAAGUUUGCGGCUCAACCGUAAAAUUGCAAUUGAUACUGGCAGCCUUGAGUACAGUUGAGGUAGGCGGAAUUCGUGGUGUAGCGGUGAAAUGCUUAGAUAUCACGAAGAACCCCGAUUGCGAAGGCAGCGUACCGGCGCCCGACUGACGCUGAAGCACGAAAGCGUGGGUAUCGAACAGGAUUAGAUACCCCGGUACGG
rnacentral:rRNA from 1 species